rnacentral:rRNA from 1 species
GAUGAACGCUGGCGGCGUGCCUAAUACAUGCAAGUCGAGCGAACAGAUGAGGAGCUUGCUCCUCUGACGUUAGCGGCGGACGGGUGAGUAACACGUGGAUAACCUACCUAUAAGACUGGGAUAACUUCGGGAAACCGGAGCUAAUACCGGAUAAUAUAUUGAACCGCAUGGUUCAAUAGUGAAAGACGGUUUUGCUGUCACUUAUAGAUGGAUCCGCGCCGCAUUAGCUAGUUGGUAAGGUAACGGCUUACCAAGGCAACGAUGGGUAGCCGACCUGAGAGGGUGGUCGGCCACACUGGAACUGAGACACGGUCCAGACUCCUACGGGAGGCAGCAGUAGGGAAUCUUCCGCAAUGGGCGAAAGCCUGACGGAGCAACGCCGCGUGAGUGAUGAAGGUCUUCGGAUCGUAAAACUCUGUUAUUAGGGAAGAACAAAUGUGUAAGUAACUAUGCACGUCUUGACGGUACCUAAUCAGAAAGCCACGGCUAACUACGUG